UGGUUUGAACACUCUGCCUGCCUGCGUGCCCACAAAUGUCCAUCAGACCAAACCCCUCUAUACCCUUGGGGCUCAGUCAGGUCUGCAGAUCUCAGUAAUGUGCUGUUUACCUCCUUCCUGCAGACUGUUAAGGAAGUGGUUGCAUAUACUCAGUCUCAGCCCCAUGCCUGUAGCCCCCAUUCUGUCAGUUGCUUUUUAUUAUCACCUCUUGUGUAGAGAUUUAGCCACUUUCAGUCCACAGGGUAGCAUUCCUCGGAGGCUGGGAAUCCACUCGCCUCCUCACCCUGGCAGCUGGGAACCAUCACAGCAAUUUCCACAUAACUUAAGUUUUCUGUUUAAAAACAUUUCUUGACCUUAUGUCUGUGAAGAAACUUCCAAAUGUGGCCUGAAGCCAAGCUGCCUUCCUGAAUCUGCAGACAGACAGCUCCAAAGCUCCUGGUGCCACAGGUUCAGGCAUCCCUAUAGGUUUCUCAAUAGCAGCCAUGAAACAGACCAGAAUCAUGUUCUAUGCAGUGGUGGUGUGGCCACCUCAGUCUCAGGGUAUUAGAGCGACAAGGUGGGUGAGGCAGUAUCUUCUACUGGACCAACUGCAGUUAGUGAGAGACAACUUUUGUUGUUUCUCUCACCACCAGAAGUUGUUCCAAUAAAAGAUAUUACCUCAUCCACCUUGUCUCUCAGAAUCAUGUUAGUUUCAUUCUACAGCUCCUUGGGGAACAGCAGGAGAGGCAGGCAUUGGAGCUGUUCACAGAAGGGCCAGUGCAGCAGAGACUGCCCUCAGCAGCCAAGGGUGAGGGACAGAGAGAGAAGCCAGUAGAUUUAGCCUUCUGGUUAGCAAGUGUCUGGCAAAUUUUCCAAGCUCUGGUGUUUCACUGCAUGUCAAUUUCAGUUUAUUUUCCAGUAUAGAUUAUGUGAGACACAAUCUCAAUGUGUUAUUAAAUUUCACAUAUAUCACACAUGCUGCUUUCUGGUUGGCCACUCCUUUGGAAUUUCUGUCAAACAAGCACUGAUGUUUCUGUUUGUUAUAAACCACCCCCAACAGCCACUUAUUGCUCAUGCUUCCAUUUCCUCCUAGAUUCCAUAUUUUCAAAACAUCAGUGCACACAAUCACCUGCACAUGGAGUUGCUGAGCACUAACAAUUCUGCCUUAAGAUGACAGAUUGUAACACCUGUAUAGAUUAGUGAUCGAACUUCCACUCAGAAGUAUCACCUGCAUACACAAGUGUUAGUGCUGGAAGUGUGUGCAUGGAGGUGUUUGCUUGUGCCGCCAGGACAGAGGUUUCUCUGAAAAACUGACUCUAGAUUUUUAGUGACUUUUCUCUUCAUAUUUGUCCAAUUUUUGCUGGAGAGAGAAGGGAGCCUUAUUGAGCGGUGAUUGAGAUGCUCGUUCCUCUUUUUCCUUUUUUGGAAGUCAGGACCACAUUUGUUUUCCUCUAGUCUUCUGAUGUUUCUCUGAUCCAGGACUCAUCAGAACUAAUUAUCAGUGGGUCAGUAAAUUCAUGGGCUAAUUCUCUUAAGAUCCUAGAGUGACAUCAUCUGAGCCCAUAGAAUUGUUUAUGUUCAGAUUUUACAAGUGUCCCCUGCUCCUUGUCAGGAGCCAUUAUACUAGCUCUUCCUUCCAGAUGGAUUGUUCAAACUCCUUUUCUAUAUUUAUCUUGUUGAAGACAGAUUUAAAAGGAGCGGUUGAGUAUCUGAGCCACCACUGAGGCAGAGCUUUCCAGGUAGACAGGAGAUGCCGUGGAGCAGGGAAGGAGAGGAUGUGCUGGGUGCACACAAGGGGGCAGAGGGACAAGUUGGGAGGAGGUACCGUGGUGCAGGUGAAUCAUGGGAGAAUGUGCAAAUCCUGAAUUUAGAAGAGAGAUGUGGUGGUUUUAGCUCUGAGAUGUACUUUCUUGUUACGAAUGCUCAAUCCUGACUCAGAAGACCCAGUGCAGAGGUCAAGCGUAGAGUUCUUCUCUUCUGGUGGCCAGGCAGGCAUAUGUCAGCCCUUUCUCAGCACUGUUUUGGGCUAGAGAUUGCAGAAUCUCUUGCCCUUGGCAGGCAGCUCAAGCCUUCUGUCAGGUCAGUGUUCAGGUUCUUUGUCUCAGCUUAACAUGCCACAUGAUGACCCAUUCCAGUUGGAGCUGCAAAGGGAAGAGACUGGGCCUGCACCUUUGUUUGUGCCUUUAUGCUGGUGAAAGAGUCCUGGUAGCACUGGUGGGUUUAGUUCUGUCAAGUUUUUUUCCCCCACUUAAUAUGUCUUAAGCAGUUCAGGUCUUGCACACUCUGGAGACUCUAUCGUGAGCAGAAAAGAGCCAAGGGAGUGGAAGCUGGAGCAGCAGCACAAGGGGGAUUUUCGAUCAGCCAGCCUGUGUAAAGUGCUUUGGUCCCAGUUUGGUUUUGGGCAUGAAUAUUUAACUCAAAUGGCCAGUGAACGUUUUGGGUGAAGGAAACUUUUGUUAAAGAGUAAGAGCUCUGCUCCUUCAAUUGACGUCUGAGAGCUCAUAAUACACGCCCUGAGGCACACUUCUGCCCUGCCAAAAAGCUUCUCCAGUAGAACCAGGGCAGGGCAGACUCAACAAUCCUGAUAUUUCUAGGGGCAAAACCAAGCCCCAAAAACAAACAAAAUCCCCCCUGCCCCCGCCCCCCC